UACGUAGGCAGCAAGCGUUGUUCGGAGUUACUGGGCGUAAAGGGUGCGUAGGCGGCCUUAUAAGUAUGGUGUGAAAUCUCCCGGCUUAACUGGGAGGGUGCGCUAUAGACUGUGGGGCUAGAGUGUGGGAGAGGAAAGUGGAAUUCCUGGUGUAGCGGUGAAAUGCGUAGAUAUCAGGAGGAACACCGGUGGUGUAAACGGCUUUCUGGACCAUAACUGACGCUGAGGCACGAAAGCGUGUGUAGCAAACAGG
rnacentral:rRNA from 1 species